AUGGAGGUUGGUAACGGGGGCGAUUCGGCCAUGGAUGUGGAGGCGCAAGUGACCCCGGUCCCGGGCGGCGGCGCCUCACCGGCGAGGCGGCUGGGCCUCAAGAACAGCAUCCAGACCAACUUCGGCGACGACUACGUUUUCCAGAUAGCUUCUUGUCAGGAGAUCUCAAAGCUCGCGGUUUCUCUGUCGACAAACGCACUCAAGUUCUAUGCUCCAGCAACUGGGCAGUAUCUGGGCGAAUGCACAGGGCAUACAGGGUCCAUCCAUGAGAUUGCCUUUUCAGCUCCGUCAUCGCCGCAAGUGAUAUGCUCUUGCUCUGCUGAUGGAACCAUCAGAGCCUGGGACACAAGGAGCUUUAAGCAGAUAUCUUUGCUAAAUGCUGGCCCCUCGCAUGAAAUGUUUACCUUCUCCUUUGGUGGAACAAGUGGUAACCUACUUGCUGCUGGUUCUAACUCCAAGGUUCUGUUGUGGGACUGGAGAAGUUCAAAACAGGUAGCCUGCUUAGAGGAAUCCCACAUGGACGAUGUAACCCAGGUUCGAUUUGCGCCAAAUCAACAGAGUAAACUCAUUUCUGCGGCAGUCGAUGGGUUAAUGUGCGUCUUCGACACCGAUGGUGAUAUCAAUGAGGACGACCAUUUGCUAACUGUUAUGAAUGUGGAGACUUCUGUUUCUAAGGUGGGUUUCUAUGGAAACACGUAUCAGAAGCUUUGGUGUUUGACUCAUAUUGAAACACUAAGCACUUGGGACUGGAAUGAUGGGACUAGAGAAUUGAACAUAGAGAAUGCUCGUUCCCUGGCUAGUGACAAGUGGAACCUUGACCAUUUGGACUACUUCGUCGACUGCCACUACUCUCUGCCUGAUGACCGGUUAUGGGCAAUAGGUGGCACCAGCGAGGGGACACUAGGUUACUUCCCUGUAAAAAACGAUCCUGCGGGAGCGAUCGAUUGGGCGGAGGCUGUCCUCGAAGGAGGCCACACAGGAGUCAUCAGGACCAUAUGCCCAGGUGGAAGCAGUCUUCAGAGCCUUGGCCAAAACAAGGGCAUCUUUGGGUGGACAGGAGGUGAAGAUGGCCGGCUAUGUUGCUGGCGCUCCGACGACGCCGUAGCAACAAAAAAGUCCUGGAUCUCUAGUACGCUCGUGUCACGCAUGGACAAGAAAAUGAAAAUCCGACAUCAGCCCUACUGA
rnacentral:rRNA from 1 species